CAGACAUUGGAAACCAAUUUAACGGUUGCAAGAGAACAACUAAAAGAGUUAAGCAGUAAAUGCAGUAACUUGUCAUCUCAGCUAGCGGUGAACCAGAAAGAACUCUCCCAAAAAGAAUGUGAUAUGAACAGGACUAAGAAGGAGUUACAGGAGCUGCAGAAUCUUUACAAACAAAACAUUGCACAUACGACACAGCAGGCUCAACUGAUACACCAACUUCAGACUCUUAAUACUGACACACAAAAAGUACUGAAGGAACAAGAAGAUGUGCACACAACUGAAACAAUAUCAUAUCAAAAACUCUAUAAUGAAUUGACUUUGUGUUUUGAAACUUUAAAAACAAAUGAAAUUCAGCUGCAGCAAAGGUACACCUCUCUUCAGGAUCAGUUACUUGGAAAAGAUGAGAAGAUUUGUCAGUUACAGGAACAACUUCAGCAGGCUCACGAUGCUUUGAAUAUGUUACAUCAGAAUUCUUCUUGUGACUUACAGAAACAGUUGAGUGUUUAUGUGAUCUGUCACAAGCUGAGUCAGAUACUUACCAAUGGUAACAAAAGGAGACAUUUGUGGAAUUGUUUGAAUUGGAAGAGUCCGUUAAAUAUUACCUCGUCCAAUCCACCCUGCCAUGGGCAUCAUUGCUAUCCAGAAGACCAGAUUGCUCCAUUCAAGCUGGACUUGAUCACUUCCAGGGACAGGCCAUACGCAACUUUUCUGGGCAACCUUAUCCAGUGCCUCAUCACCUGAGUAGUGAAAAAUUUAUUCUUUAUAUCUAAUCUAAACUUCCCCCUUUUAGCUUAAA
rnacentral:lncRNA from 1 species